AUUGAACGCUGGCGGCAGGCCUAACACAUGCAAGUCGAGCGGAUGAAGGGAGCUUGCUCCUGGAUUCAGCGGCGGACGGGUGAGUAAUGCCUAGGAAUCUGCCUGGUAGUGGGGGAUAACGUCCGGAAACGGGCGCUAAUACUGCAUACGUCCUGAGGGAGCAAGUGGGGGAUCUUUGGACCUCACGCUAUCAGAUGAGCCUAGGUCGGGUUAGCUAGUUGGUGGGGUAAGGGCCUACCAAGCCGACGAUCCGUAACUGGUCUGAGAGGAGGAUCAGUCACACGGGAACUGAGACACGGUCCAGACUCCUACGAGAGGCAGCAGUGGGGAAUAUUGGACAAUGGGCGAAAGCCUGAUCCAGCCAUGCCGCGUGUGUGAAGAAGGUCUUCGGAUUGUAAAGCACUUUAAGUUGGGAGGAAGGGCAGUAAGUUAAUACCUUGCUGUUUUGACGUUACCAACAGAAUAAGCACCGGCUAACUUCGUG
rnacentral:rRNA from 1 species